AUUGAACGCUAGCGGCAGGCUUAACACAUGCAAGUCGAGCGAGCGGCGGACGGGUGAGUAAUGUCUGGGAAACUGCCUGAUGGAGGGGGAUAACUACUGGAAACGGUAGCUAAAACCACAUACCAUCAGAUGUGCCCAGAUGGGAUUAGCUAGAAGGUGGGGUAAUGGCUCACCUAGGCGACGAUCCCUAGCUGGUCGGAGGGGAUGACACGCCACACUGGAACGGAGACACGGUCCAGAAUCGUACGGGAGGGAGCAGUGGGGAAUAUUGCACAAUGGGCGCAAGCCUGAUGCAGCCAUGCCGCGUGUAUGAAGAAGGCCUGCGGGUUGUAAAGUACUUUCGGCGAGGAGGCGUUACUCGCAGAAGAAGCACCGGCUAACUCCGUGCCAGCAGCCGCGGUAAUUC
rnacentral:rRNA from 1 species